rnacentral:lncRNA from 1 species
UCCAGUUUGGCAAGUGGCACGGCAGAAGAAACCUGAGAGAGGAGCCUGCGAGACUGGCGGGGGGGGCUGUGAGGAGGCCCUUCGGAGGAGAUGAGGAGGGGCAGGUCUCGCUCUCCCGGCAGCCCAGCGCCGUGAGGCCUUGCCAGGAGGGCCGGGAACGCAGCUGGGGGGCCCGAGGGAGAACNCUAGCCCGCCCGUCACGCGCUCUUCGUCCCGCUUCAGGCCACCGCUGCAGGACGGAGGAAAAUGCCCGCCGGCCCCGCGCGCGCGCGCCGGGCUCCUGGGCUGCAGGGCCUCCUCCUGCCCGGCUUUGCGCGCAAGGAGACCUGCNCGCCUGAAGUCACACCAGGCCUGUUUGUACGAAAGGGACUUGCACGUUCGACAGGGGGAAAAACCCUGGUCCUGGCCAGAGCAGCCACGGUCUGAAGUCUGAAAACAGACAAGUUAUAAAGGUGUGUCCCGUUGGCCUUCUCGGACCAGAAUAAGCCUUCUCGUCUGCUGUUUUGUGAGACUUUUCCGCUUGCUUAGAUUAGAGCUGCUCAGCUUGCGUCCACCUUCUAGGUGCUCCUAAAUAUAACUUCCAGNAUUCUGUGCAAACUCUGCCAUCCCCGGUGAAGGGCUGUAAGCUGAGCUCCCUUGACUUAUACCCACUGUGUGAAGCAGCAGAUGAAGCCUUGGAUUAGAACGAGAGAGUCCAGGGUUCGAAUCCCCCCAGACCAUAGAAGCUAAUCAGCGGACUUUAGCCUGUAUCUCACUCUGAUCUACCUCGCUGGGUUGUUGUGANGGGAAAGUAGAGAGCAAUUUUUUGCUGCCGAUAGGAAGAAAAGCACNCUAUAAACACAAAAUGCAAAAAUAACCUCCUGUUUUUCAGACAUUUCAGAAGAGCUCUCUACCCGAAACCAUCUCUUAACCCNCCCUGAGCCAUUCUUAAGAUGCCUGUUUUCUGUGCUAACAGCUUUUUAGAACAAUCCUUUUUGUGUUAGUUCAGGAUUUCUUGUCAUGCUUUGGGAAAUGCAUCUCUGCCAGACUCAAUUACGUGCUACUUGGACUUCUUGAGAGUCAUUCCUGAUCCACUUGUUUUCAGCCGCUUUCCGUCUCCUCCCUGGUUCUUGAAGCAACAGAUAUUCAGGUUUCUGUUCUCUCCUGCAUAAAAGGUUUAACAUCUCCUCCGACCCCCCUUUCCUUGGUGUUCAGUUGCUCACUAGUUAGCUUGUCUUGUGCUACGCCGAGGAAGUAUCUUGACAAAUAAUUACCUGUCUGUGAUAAAGUGGACUUCCCAACAGUGGCUGAAGCACUAGCAAAAUAUGGGAAUACCAUCUUUUCUGAAACACNAAGUGUCC